rnacentral:rRNA from 1 species
AUUGAACGCUAGCGGGAUGCUUUACACAUGCAAGUCGAACGAGUGGCGGACGGGAGAGUAAGAUAUCGGAACGUGCCCAGUAGCGGGGGAUAAGUACUAGAAAGAGUGGCUAAUAACACAUACUAUUGGAGCUGCCGAUAUCCGAUUAGCUAGUUGGUGGGGGAAAGGCUAACACAGACACCGAUCCGUAGCUGGUUUGAAAGGACGACCAGCCCAACUGGGACUCAGACAUGGCCCAUCCUCCUUCGGGAGGCAGCAUUGUGGAAUUUUGGACAAUGGGGGAUACCCUGAUCCAGCCAGCCCGCGUGUAGGAGAAGGCCUUCGGGUUGUAAAGUACUUUUUGCAGAGAAUCGGUAUCUGCAGAAUAAGCACCGGCUAACUACGUGCCAGCAGCCGCGGUAAUAC